GGGACGGAGAGAGAGAGGCGAGGGACGGAGAGAGAGAGAGAGAGGCGAGGGGCACAGUAUAGGCAGGUCUUUAAAACACGUUUUGUAGCAGGUAAGGAAAGCAUUUUAGCUAACCUUAACCCUUUUCCUAACCUAAGUCUCCUACCUUCCACAUAAAUUAUCCUAACCUGCUACGAAAAGGUAACUUCCGGUCGCAGCUGUACUACGUCUGGCCAGAACUGUGGUAGAACCAGGGCACCAAAACAGUAGAGCAGUUGAGCCUCGUGCUUCAACGCUCUUUGUUGUGGAAAUUGACCCACUAAGCAGUUAACUUUCUGCAUCGACCAAAAAAAACACGUUUUUCUUUUUGGUUAGGGAUUUUUUUUCUUAACGUUUAAGGAUCCCAAUUUCGUUUAAACAUUUACAUCCCUAUCUCCUAUCAAGAGUGAAAUAGCCAAACCUCCAAGCCCAAUAACCCAUAGCAGAUGUGCUGACAAUACUUAGACAGGUCAGACUAAACAGACAAGAAUGCAUCCCAACUGGCACCCUAUUCCCUUUAUAGUGCACUACUUUUGAUUAGGGCCCAUAGGGCUCUGGUUAAAGUAGUGCACUACUUUUGAUUAGGGCCCAUAGGGCUCUGGUUAAAGUAGUGCACUAUAUAGGGGGAAAGGGUGCCAUUUGGGACGGAGGUAAAUCUGACAGACCUGCAUUUGAUUAAACCCUCAACAGAACAAUUUAAAAGCCCUACUGUGAAACAGUGUCUUUCAAAUCCUGGCAAAGACUGCAUGCCCUAGACUCCAAAGAACAUUUCAGUAUUCACAAGAAGGUAUCUGGGCUCCAUCUCCAAGGUCAGACUAGACUACAUUCAGAAGGUAUCUGGGCUCCAUCUCCAAGGUCAGACUAGAAUACAUUCAGAAGGUAUCUGGGCUCCAUCUCCGAGGUCAGACUAGAAUACAUUCAGAAGGUAUCUGGGCUCCAUCUCCGAGGUCAGACUAGAAUACAUUCAGAAGGUAUCUGGGCUCCAUCUCCGAGGUCAGACUAGAAUACAUUCAGAAGGUAUCUGGGCUCCAUCUCCGAGGUCAGACUAGAAUACAUUCAGAAGGUAUCUGGGCUCCAUCUCCGAGGUCAGACUAGAAUACAUUCAGAAGGUAUCUGGGCUCCAUCUCCGAGGUCAGAUUAGAAUACAUUCAGAAGGUAUCUGGGCUCCAUCUCCGAGGUCAGACUAGAAUACAUUCAGAAGGUAUCUGGGCUCCAUCUCCGAGGUCAGACUAGACUACAUUCAGUUGGAAUCAAACCAAUUCAAAAAGGCAAAAUACAAUCUCUGUUCUAGCAAAUAAUCACUCAUACGUAGAUAGU